rnacentral:rRNA from 1 species
UGAAUACGAGACGCUAAGGCGUCGAAGUAGUGUAUGUCAUACUUCCAAGAAAAGCUUGCACUGUCAUAAGUAAAAAAUGCCUGUACCAUAACCGACACAGGUGGGUAGGUAGAGUAUACUAAGGGGCGCGAGAUAACUCUCUCUAAGGAACUCGGCAAAAUAACUCCGUAACUUCGGGAGAAGGAGUACCUUAUUCUAUAAGGUUGCAAUAACAAGAUCCAAGCAACUGUUUAUCAAAAACACAGGUCUCCGCUAAGUCGUAAGACGAUGUAUGGGGGCUGACGCCCGCCCAGUGCCAGAAGGUUAAAGAAGUCGGUUAGCAUUAGCGAAGCUGGUAACUGAAGCCCUGGUGAACGGCGGCCGUACGAUAACGGUCCUAAGGUAGCGAAAUUCCUUGUCGGGUAAGUUCCGACCCGCACGAAAGGCGUAAUGAUUUGGAUACUGUCUCGGAGAGGGGCUCGGUGAAAUAGACUUGUCUGUGAAGAUGCGGACUACCUGCACCAGGACGGAAAGACCCUAUGAAGCUUUACUGUAACUUAAAAUUGAAAUUGGACUUUAUUCGCGCAGUAUAGGUGGGAGGUGUUGAUUAUAAUCUUGCGGGAUUAUUGGAGCCAUCAGUGAGAUACCACUCUUGUAAUGUUAGAUUUCUAACUUUGUAUCAUUAUCUGGUCAAAGGACAGUUUCAGGCGGGCAGUUUGACUGGGGCGGUCGCCUCCCAAACGGUAACGGAGGCGUACAAAGGUUUCCUCUGAACGGGUAGAAAUCGUAUCUAGAGUGUAAAGGCAUAAGGAAGCUUGACUGUGAGACCUACAAGUCGAACAGGGACGAAAGUCGGUCUUAGUGAUCUGACGGUACUGAGUGGAAAGGCCGUCACUCAACGGAUAAAAGUUACUCUAGGAUAACAGGCUGAUCUCCCCCAAGAGUUCACAUCGACGGGGAGGUUUGGCACCUCGAUGUCGGCUCAUCGCAUCCUGGGGCGGUAGUACGUCCCAAGGGUUGGGCUGUUCGCCCAUGAAAGCGGUACGCGAGCUGGGUUCAGAACGUCGUGAGACAGUUCGGUCCAUAUCCGGUGUAGGCGUUAGAAUAUUGAGAGGAGCCUUCUUUAGUACGAGAGGACCGAGAAGGACAUACCUCUGGUGUACCAGUUAUCGUGCCAACGGUAAACGCUGGGUAGCUAUGUAUGGAGUGGAUAACCGCUGAAAGCAUCUAAGUGGGAAGCCCACCUCAAGAUAAGUAUUCCC